AGAAUGUCCUCAUUUAUUCAACAACUGUCGAUAUCCUUACUGGUUUGUGAAUUUGAACUUCUUUCCUUUUUAAACACUUUUACUUAUUUUUUUUUAAUCCACAGAUAAUAUCGUAUGCCUUAAUCCUGUACAGAUGACUAUAUGAAGUAUUGAACUUUUUUCCUUUGUAAGCUGAGUUGAGGCGCAUGGAAAAGGAUAAAAAGAAGACAAUGUGGAGAAGCAGCAGGCUUGCAGCCCAGCAAACAGAACUUGAAGCAAUUACAUUUCCAAGUAUGAUGUUAAUAACGCAAACUGUGUUUAAUAGUCAGAAACAGUGAAACAGCAGACGGGCUUUAAUUAAAGCUUCUCAUCACUCUUCUAAAUCGCCUUCUCUACACACGAGCAGCUGCUUCACGGCACCCGUGGAAAGAUAAUGUUUCCAUUCCAAACUUUCUUGCACGAAACGUAAAAUCUCACCCAACAGCGAUUCUAAAAUCGUAGGCUUUUCUACGUGAUUUACAACUGUUGGACGGUGUAUCAUCGUUUGCUUAUUUGGAAAGUUCUUGCAUUCUUUAUUUGUGUCUGCUUUCAUUAGGUAUGUUAUACCUAUAAAGUCUUAAAAAUAACAUUCAAUGUAAAGUACUUAAAAGAAAGAGAUGAAUAUUAGUUCAAAUAAAAAUAUUUUCACUUUAACAUGAAUGACUUUGAAAGGAGAAAAGGCACUAAGAGAUAAGUUCACAUUAGGGAGGUGAAGGGCUGCUUGUCACCAACUAGUAUGUUCAGGUGACACCGGUGGGAAGUAGCCACCUGCUUAAACAUCCUGGUCACCGAGAAUCUUUAGUGGAAUCUGCCAAUCAUUUAGGGAGGACACACCAGUUGCAUAGAUAAAUUUUCUAUACAGAUCUUGGAGGAUUUUGCCUAUCUGUGAAUUCUUGGGCUAUUCAUCUUUACUUGCCUGAAG
rnacentral:lncRNA from 1 species